UACGUAGGGUGCGAGCGUUGUCCGGGAUUAUUGGGCGUAAAGAGCUCGUAGGCGGUCUGUCGCGUCGGUCGUGAAAACUUGGGGCUUAACCCUGAGCUUGCGGUCGAUACGGGCAUGACUGGAGUUCGGUAGGGGAGACUGGAAUUCCUGGUGUAGCGGUGAAAUGCGCAGAUAUCGGGAGGAACACCAGUAGCGAAGGCGGCUCGCUGGGCCAUUCCUGACGCUGAGACGCGAAAGCUAGGGGAGCGAACAGG
rnacentral:rRNA from 1 species